rnacentral:rRNA from 1 species
UACGUAGGGUGCAAGCGUUAAUCGGAAUUACUGGGCGUAAAGCGCACGCAGGCGGCUUUGCAAGACAGAUGUGAAAUCCCCGGGCUCAACCUGGGAACUGCAUUUGUGACUGCAAGGCUAGAGUACGGCAGAGGGGGAUGGAAUUCCGCGUGUAGCAGUGAAAUGCGUAGAUAUGCGGAGGAACACCGAUGGCGAAGGCAAUCCCCUGGGCCUGUACUGACGCUGAUGCACGAAAGCGUGGGGAGCAAACAGG